rnacentral:antisense_RNA from 1 species
CUUCACCGAGCCCAGCCGGACCGGCCGAUCGUCCGGCCGGUCCCGGCCGUACGUGGCGAGCAGCGCCUCGGCCUC